rnacentral:lncRNA from 1 species
AGACUUUUUUUUGAUGAAAUUCCAAAUCAAGGUUAUAUAUUCUUUUAAUUUCAGUAAUGUACAAAGUUCUAGAAGUAUGUUGUGUUACUCUUAGUAGUUAGAAGCUAAAUGCAUUUCUCCCCCCGUCCCUCUCUAUUUCCAGCUUCAACAUUUCCUCUCUCUUCUAACUCGCCAGGUGACUGAUCUUCUUCUUCUUCUUCUUUUUAUCUCCCACAGGUAUAAAGUAUGUCUUCCAAUCUCAGAUCUGCCUCUAUCUUUUCCGUUUCUAUUCCACUUUCUUUCUGUUUCCUCGGAGAACUUUGGAUUUUCUAAACUUACCAUUUUUCAUUGAAAACGCGUAAAUU